GGAGGAUAUAAUGCUCAUAACUUGCCAUUCUUAUUUAUAAUUGUGUGUCAAUAUUCUCUGCUAAUCAGACUUGAUGGGUUCAAUUUGCUUAGACUGAUGAAUGCUGGGUGAAGCUGAUGCUUGAUUAUUUUUCUCUUCCAAAUGUACCUCAAUUUCCCAUUAUUUGACUUUAUAUUAACUUGCAUGGCCAGUAUCAUGCAGAAUACCAAGAACAAAUGCAGAGGUUAUAAAUUUCUACCCUAUUUUAACAAAUUGAGUUUAAUUUCUUUUAGAUGAUUAAAUACACAAACUGAGCCUUUUUGUUGGGAUAGAAUUCAAGAAGCCUUUGGCAUUGGUUUUAUCUGCUUUGCCCUUGAAUACAAGAACACUCCAGCAAGAGCCAAUGCAGUUCCUGUAGUUAAAAACCGGCCAGUCUCAAGAAACAAAAGUUGAAAUGGAACUUCUCGUUGAAACAAAUUAGUUCUAAGAAAGUUAAUUACCAAGUGAGUUAAUGGGUGAAAUUGGCGUUUGGAAGAAGAUGACUGAGGAGACUAUCACAACCACACGCUUCACACAGUUUCCCACAGCAUGAGUAACAGGGUUUACCAUCUCUAGUAUCAUAUAAGAGACCUAUACAAGGAGGGAAAAAUUAAUAACUAAAACAUAUCCAUUCCAAUGUGUUUUAUGCCAAACAUGGUCUUAGAUUUAAAGUAUGUGGAAAAGGCAAAACAAUAACUAUAAAAAACCUCACUUGUUGAUAAGAGUGGAAGCAGAACCCAGUGAGAAGAGAUCUUAAACAUAGCUCUCUAACAUUCAACCCUUGGUUUGCCUGAAAAAGGGAGGGGAAAAAAAAGAAAGGAAGAAACAAUGUGGCUUUCAGAAUAGUUUCUUGGAAUAUUUUUGGAGUCCCAAUCAAUUGUUUUGGAUACUACUCACUGCAGACUGGAGGUAUGAAGGAGUAAACUUGUACCCAUCCAAGAAAAUAGCUGUGGGAACCAACAGGAUAAAAGAAAUGAUGGUUAUUACUGAGAAGAGAUUGAUGUUGUCCAAUUUUUCCUGUCAGGAAUACACUGCAGGUUAUGACCAAACUCAGAAGAAUGCUAUAGACAAGAAUUAAUGAUUUUCAUGUGAAGUAAAGGUGAAUUGGAGAAAUUUCAGAAGUAAAAUUAGUGUUUCUGUUACCUCUUUAUCAACCAUAAAUUUUUUGCUAAGUACAUUUCGAGAUUGAUUAGUGACAUUGGAAGCCAUAGCACUGCAGAAACCAAUCCAAUUAAAAGAGGCCUCAGUGAAUGAUGCCAAAGCUACUCCACAUACUAUUGGUACAAGGGAGGAAAGUGCCCAGAAAUAGGGCCUCUGUGCACAUAGAGCAGUGAAAACUGUCAUUAUAAGGUCACUACAAAGUGGCAGAAGGAGCUGGCUUUUCAUCACCACACUUAUCCUCACAAGAAAACAUAAAAGCAUUUACGAGAAGCAGCUGGUAACAUUAGCACAUGAUUGCUUACUUCGCCGAGAAACAGUGCAGCAAAUAAGACUGUGAAGAAGGGCUCCACAGCUUUGAUCGUGUGAGUGAAUGAA
rnacentral:misc_RNA from 1 species